rnacentral:rRNA from 1 species
UACGAAGGGGGCUAGCGUUGUUCGGAAUUACUGGGCGUAAAGCGCACGUAGGCGGACAUUUAAGUCAGGGGUGAAAUCCCGGGGCUCAACCUCGGAACUGCCUUUGAUACUGGGUGUCUUGAGUAUGGAAGAGGUAAGUGGAAUUGCGAGUGUAGAGGUGAAAUUCGUAGAUAUUCGCAGGAACACCAGUGGCGAAGGCGGCUUACUGGUCCAUUACUGACGCUGAGGUGCGAAAGCGUGGGGAGCAAACA